rnacentral:tRNA from 2 species
GUACCCGUAGUUCAACUGGAUAGAAUAUCAGAUUUCGGCUCUGAGGGUUGAGGGUUCGAAUCCUUCCGGGUACA